UACAGAGGGGGCAAGCGUUGUUCGGAAUUACUGGGCGUAAAGGGCGCGUAGGCGGCCUUCUAAGUCGAACGUGAAAUCCCCGGGCUCAACCCGGGAACUGCGUCCGAUACUGGCAGGCUUGAAUCCGGGAGAGGGAUGUGGAAUUCCAGGUGUAGCGGUGAAAUGCGUAGAUAUCUGGAGGAACACCGGUGGCGAAGGCGGCGAUCCUGGACCGGUAUUGACGCGUGAGGCACG
rnacentral:rRNA from 1 species